rnacentral:misc_RNA from 1 species
GGAAGGAUCAUUAACAAGAGAGAGGGCGGUGCUCCUAGUCGGGUGCUGCCAUCAUUUGCCCUUUCUGCCUCUGGGCAGGAGUGUGCACAUAUGGUAUGUAUGUAUGUAUGUAUGUACCUAUGAUUUACGCUUGGUUGUUUGCUUGUCCGUGGGAACAGAACACAUAAACAGCAAAAUACUUUUAACAACGGAUCUCUAGGCUCCCGCAACGAUGAAGAACGCAGUAAUGUGCGAAAAGUAGUGCGAUUUGCAUACGUCUGUGAGUCAUCAAGUCUUUGAACGCAAGUGGCACCGUCACGUCAAGUGGCGGUAUGCCUGUCUGAGCGCCGGAACUCUCCUCGCAUCCAGUUGGAUGUGGAUGUGGCCUCGUCCAGUGGGCCGAAUCUGGUGGGUGCAACUAUAUGGUGUGGCUAGCUGCUAGUCAAUGGCUAGUAGUCAAGUCAAGUAGUCGCAACUACCAGGUAUCUGGCACUGGGACCUGGCUUGAAAGUGUCAAGAUGCUGUGCCGUGGCAGGCAGUGUGAUAGUGAACCGUGGUUCCGCCUCGCUGUCUGGCACUGGUGCAAUGGGCAUCGAUUCGCCAUUAGUCGUCGUGGGUGCUGGUAGUAGGAGAGUGUGAAUGUAUGCAUCUAGUGUACAUGAGCAUUUGCUACCUAUCAGUAUCGGUCGACAGGGGCAACAGCUAGUAUAACUACUAGUACUACUAUUUUGGCCUCAGACAUGCAAGAGUACCCGCUGAACUUAAGCAUAUCAGUAAGCGGAGGAGAAGAAACUAACAAGGAUUCCCCCAGUAACGGCGAGUGAAGAGGGACCAGCUCAAAUUUGGAAUCAGCCAGGAAUGGCCGAAUUGUAGUCUGGAGAGGUGUCAUCAGUGUGUCCGGCUGCGUGCAAGUCCCCUGGAAUGGGGCAUCACAGAGGGUGAGAAUCCCGUUUGGAUGUGGCCGGACGUGCGGUACGAGGCACGCUCGAAGAGUCGAGUUGUUUGGGAAUGCAGCUCAAAGGGGGUGGUAAAUUCCAUCCAAGGCUAAAUAUGGGCGGGAGACCGAUAGCGAACAAGUACCGUGAGGGAAAGAUGAAAAGCACCUUGAAAAGGGAGUUAAACAGCGCGUGAAAUUGUUAAAAGGGAAACGAUUGGAGCCAGCAUUUCGUGCGCUUCUACUCUGGCUGGGGGUUGGGGGCAGAGCGUGAGCCUGUCUCUGGCAUUCCCGGCUGGGGGUUCGGCGCGUGAGAGUCAGGGCCGCUUCGGAAGUGCUUCAUAAGAGGUCGGGAAGGUAGCAAUGUCCUUGGACAGUGCACUUAUAGCCCGAUUGGAUGGGGUGUUCUGGAGGGGAGGAGAGGGCCUUGCGGGCUGGACGGCCGAGGCUCGUGUGAGUCUGGCGUGGGGCUGCGUGCAGACCGAUGCUGGGCCGUGGGAGUCGGCCGACUGAGCCCCGAGGGCCGAGCCUGACGGAAUGGCGUCAAACGACCCGUCUUGAAACACGGACCAAGGAGUCUAACAUGUAUGCGAGUGUUUGGGUGGCAAACCCGGACGCGCAAUGAAAGUGGAUAGUGGGAGCGCGAGUGUAUAGCUUGUGCGCACCAUGGACCGGUGGGUCUUCGGGCCAGAUCGAGUCGGAGCAUAAAUGUUGGGACCCGAAAGAUGGUGAACUAUGCCUGGGUAGGAUGAAGCCAGGGGAAACUCUGGUGGAGGUCCGCAGCCGUUCUGACGUGCAAAUCGAUGGUCGAAUCUGGGCAUAGGGGCGAAAGACUAAUCGAACCAUCUAGUAGCUGGUUCCCUC